rnacentral:rRNA from 1 species
UGGGGAAUUUUGCGCAAUGGGCGAAAGCCUGACGCAGCGACGCCGCGUGUGUGAAGAAGGCCCUAGGGUUGUAAAGCUCUUUUGGCGGGGACGAUAAUGACGGUACCCGCAGAAUAAGCCCCGGCUAACUUCGUGCCAGCAGCCGCGGUAAUACGAAGGGGGCUAGCGUUGUUCGGAAUUACUGGGCGUAAAGCGCACGCAGGCGGAUUGGUGAGUUAGAGGUGAAAUCCCGGGGCUCAACCUCGGAAUUGCCUUUGAUACUGCCAGUCUUGAGUCCGGGAGAGGUGAGUGGAAUUCCUAGUGUAGAGGUGAAAUUCGUAGAUAUUAGGAAGAACACCAGUGGCGAAGGCGGUUCACUGGCCCGGAACUGACGCUCAGGUGCGAAAGCGUGGGGAGCAAACAGGAUUAGAUACCCCGGUAGUCC